CCUACGGGCGGCAGCAGUGAGGAAUAUUGGUCAAUGGGCGCGAGCCUGAACCAGCCAAGUAGCGUGAAGGAUGACUGCCCUACGGGUUGUAAACUUCUUUGACAGGGGAAGAGCAGAAGACGGUACCCUGAAAACAAGCCACGGCUAACUACGUGCCAGCAGCCGCGGUAAUACGUAGGUGGCAAGCGUUGUCCGGAUUUACUGGGUGUAAAGGGCGUGUAGCCGGGAAGGCAAGUCAGAUGUGAAAUCUGGAGGCUCAACCUCCAAAUUGCAUUUGAAACUGUUUUUCUUGAGUACUGGAGAGGCAGACGGAAUUCCUUGUGUAGCGGUGAAAUGCGUAGAUAUAAGGAGGAACACCAGUGGCGAAGGCGGUCUGCUGGACAGCAACUGACGGUGAGGCGCGAAAGCGUGGGGAGCAAACAGGAUUAGAUACCCCGGUAGUC
rnacentral:rRNA from 1 species